AUUGAACGCUGGCGGAAUGCUUUACACAUGCAAGUCGGGCGGCAGCGCGGGGGCAACCCUGGCGGCGAGCGGCGAACGGGUGAGUAACACAUCGGAACGUACCCUGUCGUGGGGGAUAACGAAUCGAAAGAUUCGCUAAUACCGCAUACGACCUGAGGGUGAAAGCGGGGGAUCGCAAGACCUCGCGCGAGAGGAGCGGCCGAUGGCGGAUUAGCUAGUUGGUGGGGUAAAGGCCCACCAAGGCGACGAUCCGUAGCGGGUCUGAGAGGACGGCCCGCCACACUGGGACUGAGACACGGCCCAGACUCCUACGGGAGGCAGCAGUGGGGAAUUUUGGACAAUGGGCGAAAGCCUGAUCCAGCCAUUCCGCGUGCAGGAUGAAGGCCCUCGGGUUGUAAACUGCUUUUGUACGGAACGAAAAAGACUCCGGCUAAUACCUAGAGUCCAUGACGGUACCGUAAGAAUAAGCACCGGCUAACUACGUGCCAGCAGCCGCGGUAAUGUCUAGCA
rnacentral:rRNA from 1 species